GCGAAUGCUGACAUGAGUAACGACAAUGGGUGUGAAAAACACCCACGCCGAAAGACCAAGGUUUCCUGCGCAACGUUAAUCGACGCAGGGUUAGUCGGUCCCUAAGGCGAGGCUGAAAAGCGUAGUCGAUGGAAAACAGGUUAAUAUUCCUGUACUUCUGGUUAUUGCGAUGGAGGGACGGAGAAGGCUAGGCCAGCUUGGCGUUGGUUGUCCAAGUUUAAGGUGGUAGGCUGAGAUCUUAGGUAAAUCCGGGAUCUUAAGGCCGAGAGCUGAUGACGAGUGUUCUUUUAGAACACGAAGUGGUUGAUGCCAUGCUUCCAAGAAAAGCUUCUAAGCUUCAGGUAACCAGGAACCGUACCCCAAACCGACACAGGUAGAAAUAAAG
rnacentral:rRNA from 1 species